UCCUCCGGCAUUCUAGAGGCAUCUCUCCUGGGGCACUCAUCACCAGACUGGGUCACGGAGCAUCCUUCCCUAGCUUCCUGUGAACUUCAUGGACCACCCAGAGGGACUCAUAUAUAGAUAGUUACGACUCCAAGCGCAAAAAGACUCUUCCCACCAAACGCACUUUAAAACAUCAUCUCAUUGGUCAACGAGCCUCAGGACACUGACUGACCUUAGGCCAGAGAGGUGGCAGCCCGUAAGAGUCUGAAGAUUGUGGGUGUGGUUCCAGAAGGUCAUCAGCAUGUAAUCCUGAAACAGGCAAGGGCUGAGAAGUCU
rnacentral:lncRNA from 1 species